rnacentral:rRNA from 1 species
GACGAACGCUGGCGGCGUGCUUAACACAUGCAAGUAGAACGGAGUGGCGAACGGAUGAGUAACACGUGGGUGACCUGCCCUGCACUUCGGGAUAAGCCUGGGAAACUGGGUCUAAUACCGGAUAGUGUGGGAUGGGCCCGCGGCCCAUCAGCUUGUUGGUGGGGUAAUGGCCUACAAAGGCGGCGACGGGUAGCCGGCCUGAGGGGGUGGACGGCCACAUUGGUACUGGGACGCGGGCCGGACUGCUACGGGGGGCAGCAGUGGAGAAUAGUGCGCGAUGGGCGGAGGCCUGAUGCAGCGACGCCGGGUGGGAGAUGACGGCCUUCAGGUUGUAAACUCCUUUCACCAUCGACGCGGUAGCUGGAGAAGAAGCACCGGCUAACUACGUGCCAGCAGCCGCGGUAAUUC